GCACGCGGGAUGUCAUGGGAGAUUUAGACACUUUCGGCCAAUCAUAGUGAAAAAGGCGUUGCCCCAACGCAUUCUUCAUUAUGAUUGGCGGAAAGUGCCUAAAUCUCCCAUUACAACAUUCGCAUUUCCGCUUGACAACAUUUAAAUUUGCCCUUGGUAACUUGUACGUUUCAACGAUCAAACUGCGCGGCAAAACUUCUUGUCUCUAAGCUCAACUGCAAAUCGCAGUAU